CACAGGACAGAAAACACUUUGUGACAAGUGGAGAUGACAAGCUGGUGAAGGUGUGGGACUACAUGGAAGGUACGGUAACCCAUGUAGGAAUAGCUCACAGUGGCAGCAUCACCAGCAUCAAGGUCUGCUCCAACAACCGCACCCUGGUCAGCACCAGCGCAGACGGAGCCAUUCUGAGAUGGAGGUUCCCUCACCCUGCUUCCUCUUAAUGUGACAUGUGGAGUCCUGGAAACUACGCGUUCUACUUUGAUUCCAGGAACACUCGUACUCAUAUGAUCCGACAUUUUCCCAUUAUUGUUCCUCUUAGCAAAUAUUUCUAGGAGAGUUCUGACAUUAACAUUUCAGAAAAGGUUUAAACCCAGACCAAAGGAAAUAAAGGUAAUUUGAUUUAG